GACAAAAGCCUUCCUUGUUUACUCCGAGUCUGUUAAGCAAUGAACACUUUGAACCAGACAGCAACACUUGAGACAUGUAAGCAAGUGUUGCAAAUAUAUUU